GAGGUGGAAAAGAAGAGAACUGAAAAUAAUACCAAUGUUUUGUGAGAACAGAGGUGUUGUAUUGCUUGGAUAAAACAGUGUCUCAGCAGAUGUAUGGAAUAGAGAAAACAGAUGUAUGGAAUUGAGAAACCACAUGGGAUGUGACCAAGCAUGUUCUUAAUUGAUCUCUGCAUUUAUUUCCAUGAGUAACAGGUCAUCCAUAUGACAAUACAAUCCUGUAAAUGGGACUAACAGCAGCAAGUUGUAUAUAUGACAAUCAAGGAGACUAUUUGUCACUCUUUUGUCAUUCCUUAUUUUUGGCUCUCUCAGUGUGCCCAACAGAAUAACAGAUAUUGUUGUUCAGGAGGAGACUUUCUUAAUGGUAAUACUUUGCCUUUGCUGUGUAAAAUCUAUAAAAUGCCUGACUGGAACAAUACAAUCAAUAAAACAG